rnacentral:rRNA from 1 species
GACGAACGCUGGCGGCGUGCUUAACACAUGCAAGUCGAACGGAAAGGCCCUGCUUUUGUGGGGUGCUCGAGUGUCGAACGGGUGAGUAACACGUGGGUAACCUGCCCUUGACUUUGGGAUAACUUCAGGAAACUGGGGCUAAUACCGGAUAGGAGCUCCUGCUGCAUGGUGGGGGUUGGAAAGUUUCGGCGGUUGGGGAUGGACUCGCGGCUUAUCAGCUUGUUGGUGGGGUAGUGGCUUACCAAGGCUUUGACGGGUAGCCGGCCUGAGAGGGUGACCGGCCACAUUGGGACUGAGAUACGGCCCAGACUGCUACGGGAGGCAGCAGUGGGGAAUAUUGCACAAUGGGCGGAAGCCUGAUGCAGCACCGCCGCGUGCGGGAUGACGGCCUUCGGGUUGUAAACCGCUUUCGCCUGUGACGAAGCGUGAGUGACGGUAAUGGGUAAAGAAGCACCGGCUAACUACGUG